ACACCGAUGGUGAAGCGGUUAUCAUGCUUGCCUUCCAUAUCAGGAACUGAGUCCUUAAGCAAGCGGCAGGGGUUCGACUCCCCUUCGGUGUA